CAGAGACUGAUGUGACUAGCUCAGUGUUCUCUGUACAGCACUAUGGUAUAUGUCAGAGCUAUAUAAUUGUAUAAAUAUAAUAGUGUGUAACUGUGGGAGGGCAUUACAGUGUCAGC